rnacentral:lncRNA from 1 species
AUGCAACUGGUUUUCCUGUGUAGAGAGAAGGAUUUCAAGGAAUUUGGCCAUAACAAAGUUUUUUCAGAACUCCUGGCUGAUUUGAGGGUACUAGAGGAGAAGGGGAUAACAAUAGUAGACAAAUCUGUUGUAAAGGGAGCUCUCUACUGCAUUGCCGGAGACAACCUGGGCUCUCAUUGUAUUGGUGGUUUUACAGAAAAUUUCAGUUCAUCUGAGUACUUAUGCAGAUACUGUCUGUUAACUCGAACUGAAUUUCAGGGUGCUGAUCCAGCCAUCUGUGGACCUCAGCGGACCCCAGAAACGUACAGAUCUGCCACUGAACAGCUUGAGACAGAAAACGUGUCAGAAGUACAAGGGAUAAAGUUCAGGUCUGUAUUUAAUUCUUUACGAAACUUUGAUGUUUGCAUGCCCGGCAUGCCCCCAUGUCUUGGUCAUGACAUCUUCGAAGGUGUCCUCUCCCACGAUGUUGCUCUUUACCUCAAGUACUUUAUCAAGACUAAUAAAUGGUUCACCUACACAAAUUUAAACAGGCGCAUCAAGCAGUUUAAAUACAAAGGAACAGAUGCUUCCUCUAAGCCUUGUGAGGUCAGUCCAAAAACAUUGAAACUUAGUGGUCAAGCUGUUCAAAAUUGGAACUUCUUGAGACUUUUACCUCUCAUAAUUGGAGACAAAGUGCAGAACCCCCAAGAUAAUGUGUGGCAGUUAACUUUGCAGCUUAAGGACAUUGUAGACCUAAUUUGUGCUCAGCAAAUUUCCAAGGCUCAGGUUACUUAUCUGGAUGCUCUAAUCCAAGAAUAUUUAGAAACCAGAAAGGCACUGUUUCCAGAUACCAACUUAAGACCUAAACACCAUUUCUUACGGCAUUAUCCCGGGCUUAUCCUGAAAUUUGGCCCACUCAUCAGGCUGUGGACUAUGCGUUUUGAGAGCAAACAUAGUUACUUCAAAAGAUGCUCAAGGCAUCUAAAAAAUUUCAAAAAUCUGUGUUUGACUCUUUCAGAGCGACAUCAGAUGUUUCAGGCCUUCCUUUCUGCUGGGGCAGUGAGUCCUCCAGCAUUGCAAAUAAAAGAUUGCUCACCAUUUUACCCACAACUUUACAGUGAGCAAGUUAAAGAAACAAUCCUACAUUUGGGCUUUACUGAAAGAAAUACAACAAUUCCUUUUGAUGUGCAGUACAAUGGGCUAACUUACAGGAAGGGUCAGUUUCUUGUUACGAAGAAUGAUGAGUCAGUAGAGUUUGGUGAACUCCUCCUCAUUUUUGUUAAAGAUGAUUCUGCGCUUUAUUUUCUGAUGAGAGUUUAUGAUGUAGAAUUUCUUUCAUACUAUCACAUGUACUCUGUAAAAAAUGACACUGGAAGAUUAGAAUGCAGACUCAUCAGUGAACUGAUUGACAUGUGGCCAUUAUUAUCUUACAUGAAAAAUGGAUACCAGAUUGUUCCACUGAAGCACAGCAUCUUGUCCGACUAA